rnacentral:rRNA from 1 species
UACGUAGGGUGCGAGCGUUAAUCGGAAUUACUGGGCGUAAAGUGUGCGCAGGCGGCCGAGCAAGUCGAGUGUGAAAUCCCCGGGCUUAACUUGGGAAUUGCGCUCGAAACUACCUGGCUUGAGUGUGGCAGAGGAAGGUGGAAUUCCACGUGUAGCGGUGAAAUGCGUAGAGAUGUGGAGGAACACCGAUGGCGAAGGCAGCCUUCUGGGCCAACCACUGACGCUCAUGCACGAAAGCGUGGGGAGCAAACAGG